UACGUAGGGUGCAAGCGUUAAUCGGAAUUACUGGGCGUAAAGCGUGCGCAGGCGGUUUUGUAAGUCUGAUGUGAAAUCCCCGGGCUCAACCUGGGAAUUGCGUUGGAGACUGCAAGGCUUGAAUCUGGCAGAGGGGGGUAGAAUUCCACGUGUAGCAGUGAAAUGCGUAGAGAUGUGGAGGAACACCGAUGGCGAAGGCAGCCCCCUGGGUCAAGAUUGACGCUCAUGCACGAAAGCGUGGGGAGCAAACAGG
rnacentral:rRNA from 1 species